rnacentral:rRNA from 1 species
AAACGCUUGAAGUCAGUCGCGUUGGCCAGGGAUCAACCUUGCUUUUUUUUGCUUGGCUUAUUUCCUGGUCAAUGGGUCAGCAUCAAUUUUGACUGAUGGAAAAAGUUCAAGGGAAUGUGGCAUCCUUUGGAUGUGUUAUAACCUUUGUUCGCAUACAUUAGUUGGGAUUGAGGAACUCAGCACGCCGAAAGGCCGGGUUAUUAACCACGUACGUGCUUAGGAUGCUGGCAUAAUGGCUUUAAUCGA